CCUACGGGGUGCUGCAGUGGGGAAUAUUGGACAAUGGGCGAAAGCCUGAUCCAGCCAUGCCGCGUGUGUGAAGAAGGCCUUCGGGUUGUAAAGCACUUUCAGUGGGGAAGAAAGCCUUGGGGCUAAUACCCUCGAGGAAGGACAUCACCCACAGAAGAAGCACCGGCUAACUCCGUGCCAGCAGCCGCGGUAAUACGGAGGGUGCGAGCGUUAAUCGGAAUUACUGGGCGUAAAGCGCGCGUAGGCGGUCUGAUAAGCCGGUUGUGAAAGCCCCGGGCUCAACCUGGGAACGGCAUCCGGAACGGUCAGGCUAGAGUGCAGGAGAGGAAGGUAGAAUUCCCGGUGUAGCGGUGAAAUGCGUAGAGAUCGGGAGGAAUACCAGUGGCGAAGGCGGCCUUCUGGACUGACACUGACGCUGAGGUGCGAAAGCGUGGGUAGCAAACAGGAUUAGAUACCCGAGUAUC
rnacentral:rRNA from 1 species